GGGGUAUGCGAUUCAACGCUAAAAAAUGCUACAUCCUGAGCAUAAAAAACAAAAGCCAGAGAUUCUACACACUCAACGGCCAGAUACUCCAACAAGUUCAGAACAACCCAUACCUAGGAGUGCAGAUAUCAGAAGACCUGAAGUGGAGCAUGCACAUAACAAACGUUGCAAAAAAGGCAAGUUCAACCCUUGGCUUCCUCAGAAGGAAUUUAAGAU
rnacentral:lncRNA from 1 species